UACGAAGGGGGCUAGCGUUGCUCGGAAUGACUGGGCGUAAAGGGCGCGUAGGCGGUUUAUACAGUCAGAUGUGAAAAUCCUGGGCUCAACCUGGGGACUGCAUUUGAUACGUAUGGACUUGAGUGAAGAAGAGGGUCGUGGAAUUUCCAGUGUAGAGGUGAAAUUCGUAGAUAUUGGAAAGAACACCGGCGGCGAAGGCGGCGACCUGGUCUUUAACUGACGCUGAGGCGCGAAAGCGUGGGGAGCAAACAGG
rnacentral:rRNA from 1 species